CAACACAUCACAACAAAUCACAUCUCGGAUGGUAUUGUCACCAAUAGUCCUCUACAUAGUCCAACUGUGCCGGGACGUAGAAUGGGUACAACCGGUCUUUCCCUUAACAUAACAUAACAUAUCAUACAGUCCAACUGUGCCAGGGACGUAGAAUGGGUACAACCUGGACUUCCUCUUACAUCGUGCCAGGGACGUAGAAUGGGUACAACCUGGACUUCCAUACCAUAUCAUGCCAUAACAUCAUCAUAUCAUAUGAGGACUAAAGGAUCAUCCAAUGACCAAUCCACAUCAACAUCAUAAAUGCAAUGCAACAUAUUCGUGAAUACUAAUGCAAACAACCUACUAUAUCUCAUGGCAAUUCAUGAUGCAUGGAUCAUGCUAAAAAAUUCAUAUUUCAUUUAUUUUAAAACUUAAAGUUUAUUCCACUCACCUCUGGCUAGCUCUGACAAACUCUGUAGCAGCUGGCUCACUGCUGGGGUCCUCGGUUCCUCGGGUCCGAACCUACACGGGUGGACUCCAAUGAGGGACCAAACAUACAUAAACAUAACUCUAAUAUACUCCCCAAAAACCC
rnacentral:lncRNA from 1 species